AUGCAGGGAAGUGGCUACAGAAUUUCAGAAUCCAGACUGUUUGCUGCUAGCUCUACUUUGCUCCACCAUUUGGUAACUGAUGGCAAUGCAGCAGCUGUGUGGUUCCCACUUUAUGCGGCAGCUGUUCUUCUACCGAUCUGUUGCUCGGUGAUCAAUUGUGUGUGGUUGGUUAAUUUACUAGCCGCAUGGAUUGGGGAUAUGUACUUCGGUUUGGGUUCAUCAAAAGGGGCAAUUGUUGAGCAUUUGUAUCAACUAUCGAGGAUCUCAAGUUCACAUGGAUCACACUAUGAUCAAGUGCAUUCUGGUGCUGUGAUGAUUGUGACGGAAAAUGUUAGCAGCAGAAGCAAUCGCUACGAUUUUGACCUCCAUACGAAAUCUGCAAGGGUAACAACAACAAAGGAAACUGGUGUAAGAUUGAGUAGUAAGACUCAAAGAUGA
rnacentral:rRNA from 1 species